ACCCGUGUGAUACCACAGUAUACCAUGCGUGAUGAAGACUGUAUCAUGUUUAUCUGCAGCUUUGGUACAAUAGCAAGGUGUGUCAUUGAUAUGCGUCAAUAAGGUGUCAGUGUAGGGCUUCAUGUUUAUGUAUCACAAGCUGAGAUGUGCAGUGAGAAACCUCUUCUUCCCAGCCAUGAAAGACAGACACUCGUUUAUCAAAUGAGCACGAGCGCCUCUCCGCUUGGCACGCUGUCCGUUAAACGCUGGCCGAGCGUAGUCGAUGAUGCCAUGAGGUGCAGGCCAGCUACCCGAGGAGAAGAUCAAAGCCUCUCCGGGUGGGUGUGUUUCUUUCCCAGCGUUACCCCUUUCAUCUGCGAACACCUCACCGAGGCGCAGCCUCUGCCUGUUUACCUGGCUGACCCCAUUGGUGUUAGCUGACCUCUACUGAUCAAUAGAGUAGGAGCUGCAGCUGUGGUGACCAUGUGUGCAGUGCAGAUGGAGAAGAUUGGGGUUAAAUCUGUCUUAGCCCCAAGGAGGAAGAGCUGAGGGAUUGUCCCCAUAGCCAAGCCAGACCCUGCUUAGGAGAUCCCCAGA